UACCAAGUUACCCCCAAGUCACCUCUUCCCGUCUGAUUUGAACCCCUCCAUUUCUUCUACUAUAACCUUACUCUCUCUUUAAACCAUAUUGUAUUUCUAUGCCCUAUUUUACUUCAUCAUCUCUAUCAAGAUCAGAAAAAAAUUAGAAACCCGGGGAUUUAAAAUUUUAGCGGAAAUGGAGGAUGUGGUGCUAACAAGUUCAUCAAGAAGCUUUUAAAAUGUUAAGGUUGGAUCCAUUCCAAAGCAGUUUCCGUUCUCGGAAUCGGAGAUCCGAAAGCCUUGUUUUGCUUCCAAAGAGGUUUUCCUUAACCAUCCUACUUUUCUCGAACUUAAGUCCCCGAUUAAGAUCUGUGGUAACCAAUUUGUUACUAAGUAUUGUAAUCUCUAUUCCAUGGUUUAUGUGUUUCAGCAUUCAGAGUGAUUUUGUUUUAUUUUUUAUCGCUAUUUAGGUUACAUACUUACAUGUAUGCCAAGUGUUUGUGAAAAUGCUUAAAUGAGAUAAUCUAUUUAAGAUUACGUGCUAUUUACAUGUGUAUGAAUCAAAUCACAUAUGCAUGUACAAGAACCAUGACUAGAUAUUUUACCUAACCAAAAAAAAUCUAUUUCCCAUAUUUUGUUGGAUCCAAUUUCAUGUGUAGCAGGGAAGUCAUGGAUUUUUGUCACUAAAUCUGAUGCCACACUUGACAAAAGAUAGACUACCAAGCACCAAAUUUUGGAUUUUUUGUGGAUCCAAUAGAUGUUGAUCACUGUCAAGAAACAAGAAUGUUACAAUAGCUUAAAAGGUAGGGAUAUCGGCUGCAGGUCAGGGCAUCUAAUGGCAUCUUCUACUCUAAACAUUGUAUCUCUAUGUUGCCUCCUAUGCCUUUUAUUUUUGUGAAAACAUUUCAAGUGUGUUGCAGCAUUGGCAUGCCUUUUAGAAUUUCCGAGUUCAUACUUGGAAACAAUAAAUGGAAUCACAAGUGGUUGAGAGCUUAAUUUCUUGACAGAUAUAGAAUUCAUAUUUAAUUGCAUCCAAAUUGAAGAGGUUGUGGAGAGGAAUUGGUUUGAAGUUGAAUUUUAUGCUAAUUAUUGGAGACUUUUUUUUAUCAGAAGAGGUUCGGUGUUAUUUCUCGCUACAUAUGUGAAGAUCCAAGAUAGAAUUUUGUUGUUUUAAGGAAUAACUUUGGUUUUUUAUUUUAGCUUCUUUUUUCAUUGAAUAUACAGCAGUAUAUUUCAUUCUAAUUUCAAGUUCAUUGCCUACCUUUUGGUCGAGGAUAAUGAAGAUAUUUUUAGGUGUUUGAUUUUCAAUGUAACACUCUACUGUCCUGCCAUAAUCCAUUGCCUUUAUGGUGGAUCCUCUAUAUUUUGGUUCGAGUGAUGUGAAGGAUAAAAUACACUCCAUGAAUGGUGCGCUCAAGGAUUAAAUACACUAUAUUAUUGUUUUGUUUUCUUAUUAUACUUC